UCUGCGGUGAUGAGCCACUAACAUGUAAGAAGAAACCGUAUAAUAUGGUUUUCUCGAUGAAAUGUGCUUGUUACGCUUGGCUUCUGAGCUUC